AUUGAACGCUGGCGGCAUGCUUUACACAUGCAAGUCGAACGGCAGCGCGGGCUUCUGCCUGGCGGCGAGUGGCGAACGGGUGAGUAAUUCAUCGGAACGUGCCCUGUAUUGGGGGAUAGGCCGGCUAAAGCCGGAUUAAUAUCGCAUACGACCUUAUGUUGAAAGCGGGGGACCGAAAGUCCUCGCGCGUUUUGCGCGGACGAUGUCGGAUUAGCUAGUUGGUUAGGUAAAGGCUUACCAAGGCGACGAUCCGUAGCUGGUCUGAGAGGCCGACCAGCCACACUGGGACUGAGACACGGCCCAGACUCCUACGGGAGGCAGCAGUGGGGAAUUUUGGGCAAUGGGGGAAAGCCUGAUCCAGCAAUGCCGCGUGAGGGAAGAAGGCCUUCGGGUUGUAAAACGCUUUUGUUCGGGAAGAAAUCAUCUGGGAUAAUACGCCGGGGGGAUGACGGUACCGGAAGAAUAAGCACCGGCUAACUACGUG
rnacentral:rRNA from 1 species